CUAAUACACAGACCAAAGGUCACCCUAAUACACAGCCCAACGGUCACCCUAAUACACAGACCAAAGGUCACCCUAACACACAGCCCAACGGUCACCCUAACACACAGACCAACAGUCACCCUAACACACAGCCCAACGGUCACCCUAACACACAGACCAACAGUCACCCUAACACACAGCCCAAUGGUCACCCUAACACACAGCCCAACGGUCACCCUAACACACAGACCAACAGUCACCCUAACACACAGCCCAACGGUCACCCUAACACACAGACCAACGGUCACCCUAACAGGUCACCCUAACACACAGACCAACGGUCACCCUAACACACAGACCAACGGUCACCCUAACAGGUCACCCUAACACACAGCCCAACAGUCACCCUAACACACAGCCCAACGGUCACCCUAACACACAGCCCAACGGUCACCCUAACACACAGCCCAACGGUCACCCUAACACACAGCCCAACGGUCACCCUAACACACAGACCAACGGUCACCCUAACAGGUCACCCUAACACACAGACCAACGGUCACCCUAACAGGUCACCCUAACACACAGCCCAACAGUCACCCUAACACACAGACCAACGGUCACCCUAACAGGUCACCCUAACAGGUCACCCUAACACACAGCCCAACGGUCACCCUAACAGGUCACCCUAACACACAGCCCAACGGUCACCCUAACACACAGACCAACGGUCACCCUAACAGGUCACCCUAACACACAGACCAACGGUCACCCUAACACACAGCCCAACGGUCACCCUAACAGGUCACCCUAACAGGUCACCCUAACACACAGACCAACGGUCACCCUAACAGGUCACCCUAACAGGUCACCCUAACAGGUCACCCUAACACACAGCCCAACGGUCACCCUAACAGGUCACCCUAACAGGUCACCCUAACACACAGACCAACGGUCACCCUAACAGGUCACCCUAACAGGUCACCCUAACAGGUCACCCAAACAGGUCACCCAAACAGGUCACCCUAACAGGUCACCCUAACAGGUCACCCUAACACACAGACCAACGGUCACCCAAACCCCAGAAGGGCUUGUAGGCACCUCCCCCUUUCAAUGUUUAUAAUACAAAACCAUACAACAACAAAAAUCCUAUUUUUAAGAGAGAAACAAAUCAUUGGAGAUUUACACAAAGAAGAAGGAAAACAGAAGGGGUAAAGAAUAAAAAAGAAAAUGAAAGUACAAUACAUAAUCCAAAAUAGAUAUCUAAUAGUCAGAUGCAUCUACAUGCUAGUGUUAUUGAGCCAAUCAGAGUUAACUUCCUGUUGAUGAGGUAGGGUGGUAUCAACAUCAGUGAUGUGUCAGUGUUCUAUUCCGUUGUUGUCCUCCUAUCUACUUUGGUCUUUUUCUAAAAACCCACUGCAGGAGCCAACAUGGAACCCAGUUUCCACUCCUCACUGCUUAUUCAGUAUAGGGUGAGUGCACUGCAGGAGCCAAAAUGGACGACGCUGCUCUAGUGUUGAAUUUUACACCAGUGUCUCCAACAAUGGCUCUGACAUGUAAAUGGUUUGUUAGUGAGAGGGACAUAUUGUGAUUAGCUAGAAGAGGAGAGGUAUUUCCACCUCUCAUGAAAACUGUUUGAAACAAUUGGAUGAUGGUGUUAUCCCCCCCCCCCCCCGCCCAAAACGCUGUUAAAAAUGGUUGUGCUCCACCACCAGUGUAAAGUGGUCAGUCUAGUGGAGAGGGUAUGGGGCUUAGGGUUUCAAAGUCUGGUCACUUUCUCAAAGUCUACAGGUUUUCCAAAAAUCCUGGUUGGAAGACUCAAAAAAUCAGGAAGUGAGUUAACAGGAAAUCCGUGAAUCUUUCCGACCCGGAAUUUCUGGAAAAUCUUGGAAUUUUGGGAAAGUUGCAGGCAUUUUGCAACCCUACUUAGGGUGUGGACCCAGAGGUUCAGAGUCCAGAGUCUGAGGUCCAGUUUCCCAGACACAGAUUAACCCUUGUUCUGGAUUAUUUUUUGGAAUUUUUUUUUACAUACUCAAUGGUAUGAAUCUCCGUUGAAAUCGUUUCUAAAUCCUGGAUUAGGCUUAAUCUUUGUCCGGGAAACCAGUCCUAAAGGAACCAGCUAACUGAUGCUUCUCUGUUAUUGCUUUACACCGUGGAAGCAAAUAACUGUGUUCUUCAUUGCAAUUUAAAAAAACGUUCUGGAUGGAAACGUCACUCCUGAAAACACACCAAGGCAGUAGCAUUGUCAGCACCUGAUUUUACUCCUAAAACACACCAAGGCAGUAGCAUUGUCAGCACCUGAUUUUACCCACGUCCCCGUUAUUGGUCACUGGAGGGAAUGGCGAUAGAACCAACUAAAUGCAUUUCUUGUUAUGCUCUUAUCAGUGGUGUGCAGUAUAGCUAAUGGCAUUAAUACUUCUAGGAGGCUAGCUAACGCUUAAUGUCGUGUUCUGUUCAAGAUGAUAUUUUAUAGGAAAUAAAAGCGACUCCCUUUUUUUUGUGAGGUUGGUGUCUCUUUAUUAAAUACCUGUAUAACCCAUAGUCGAGAGUCAUCUGUGUUGUUGAUCAUAUUCUAUAUAAAGAAAACUGCAAUUUGUGUAUUAGUGGCUAAGGUUCCAUCAUUUAAGUGCCCAGCUAAACUGCACAUGUAUGUAUAAAGCAAUGUGUGUUGUAUGUAUAAUAAAUGUCUUAUUGACCUGAA